rnacentral:tRNA from 1 species
AGCAAGGUGGCUCAAUAUAAAGAGCACAGGACUGGAAGUCUAAGGGCCUGGGUUCUAAUCCCUGCUCUGCCA